UGCCAGCAGCCGCGGUAAUACGGAGGAUCCAAGCGUUAUCCGGAAUCAUUGGGUUUAAAGGGUCCGCAGGCGGACUAAUAAGUCAGUGGUGAAAUCCCAUCGCUUAACGAUGGAACUGCCAUUGAAACUGUUAGUCUUGAAUUCGGUCGAAGUGGGCGGAAUGUGUCAUGUAGCGGUGAAAUGCAUAGAUAUGACACAGAACACCGAUAGCGAAGGCAGCUCACUGGCUCGAUACUGACGCUGAGGUGCGAAAGUGUGGGGAGCAAACAGGAUUAGAUA
rnacentral:rRNA from 1 species